rnacentral:lncRNA from 1 species
CAACUGCAGUACCACCAGCAACAAUAUCUGCAGGACCAUCAGAUAUAUUAUAAAAUAGUAUUUAAAAUCAGUUGUCAGCCACAUGUGGUCUAUAUGAUGCAACAUGUUUGCAAUUGUUGGCAUGUCAUUUAAAAAUUUGUAACUAAUUUUGCUUUUUAAUAUUACCAUUAAUAUGACUUUUAAAAUAAUAAAA